rnacentral:misc_RNA from 1 species
UGAAAAGUAGUGAACGAGAGGUUAUACAAGUCUUUAUGGAAUACUGUUCUAUAAAUAUGCUGGAUUGGUUACAUUAAUCUUAAUUGUUGAAAUACUUAGAAUGUUGCCUUUUGCACCAUUCAUGGUUUUAAAUUGCAUUUGUAGGAAACAGAAACAGGCUUGUAACAGCUAUAAAAUAACUGUAAUGGCUUGUCGCUGUGCAAAUUUUUUUUUUGAAA